GGGCAAUUAGCUCAGUUGGUUAGAGCGCCACCUUUACACGGUGGAUGUCGGGGGUUCGAAUCCCUCAUUGCCCA
rnacentral:tRNA from 1 species